rnacentral:rRNA from 1 species
GGGCCCGCACAAGCGGUGGAGUAUGUGGUUUAAUUCGAAGCAACGCGAAGAACCUUACCAGGCCUUGACAUGGAUAUAAAUACCCCAGAGAUGGGGAGAUAGCUAUAUAUCACACAGGUGGUGCAUGGUUGUCGUCAGCUCGUGUCGUGAGAUGUUGGGUUAAGUCCCGCAACGAGCGCAACCCUUGUCUUUAGUUACUAACAUUAAGUUGAGGACUCUAGAGAGACUGCCGGUGAUAAACCGGAGGAAGGUGGGGAUGACGUCAAAUCAUCAUGCCCCUUAUGGCCUGGGCUACACACGUACUACAAUGGCAGUUACAAAGAGCAGCGAACUCGCGAGAGUAAGCAAAUCUCAUAAGGCUGUCUCAGUUCGGAUUGGAGUCUGCAACUCGACUCCAUGAAGUCGGAAUCGCUAGUAAUCGUAGAUCAGCAUGCUA